AUGACACUGUUAGGAAACCUAUGAGAACUAGGAACAAUAAAGAUGACAAAUACUACGCUGUCUAAGGCAACAGGAUCAGGUGAAAAAAGUGAACUUCCAGCUCAAAGUGUUCCCACAUCAAGAAGGCGUCAAUUGCAAGUUAAAGAUGCAACAAUGACAGAACAGGUGACUUGAAUAAAGACAAAUGGCUAGAAGGCUAUAGCUAUGUCCUGGAAUACGUAACAGGAAAAGAUGAGGAAUAUGGUGUAAUGGUAUCGUCCGUAUCGAGCCCUUCUAUACUAUACUAGUGUGUGUAAUCGAACGCACCUUUACUUUGUUGUGUGUAGAUGGGGCCAUGCAUGAUGUAAAAUACAAAGGAAAAAAGCAAAAACCAUGGUGCAUAAUCUACAGCAAGACCUACAUAAUGGUGAUCUUCAAUUUGGGGAUAUUUAGGCAAUCCCAUCUGUGUAUCCAAACCACUCUGCAAUUUAUCCGAGCCUGCUGACCUAACCAG